rnacentral:rRNA from 1 species
UGAGUACGAGAUGCUACGGCAUCGAAGCAGUCUAUGUCAUACUUCCAAGAAAAGCUUGCACUGUCAUAAACAAAGAAUGCCUGUACCAUAACCGACACAGGUGGGUAGGUAGAGUAUACUAAGGGGCGCGAGAUAACUCUCUCUAAGGAACUCGGCAAAAUGACUCCGUAACUUCGGGAGAAGGAGUGCCUUAUUUCUAAGGUUGCAAUAACAAGAUCCAAGCAACUGUUUACCAAAAACACAGGUCUCCGCUAAGUCGUAAGACGAUGUAUGGGGGCUGACGCCUGCCCAGUGCCAGAAGGUUAAAGAAGUUGGUUAGCAUUAGCGAAGCUGAUAACUGAAGCCCUGGUGAACGGCGGCCGUAACAAUAACGGUCCUAAGGUAGCGAAAUUCCUUGUCGGGUAAGUUCCGACCCGCAAAAGGCGUAAUGAUUUGGAUACUGUCUCGGAGAGGGGCUCGGUGAAAUAGACUUGUCUGUGAAGAUGCGGACUACCUGCACCUGGACAGAAAGACCCUAUGAAGCUUUACUGUAACUUGAGAUUGAAAUUGGACUUUAUUUGCGCAGUAUAGGUGGGAGGCGUUGAGAAUAAUCUUGCGGGAUUGUUGGAGCCAUCAGUGAGAUACCACUCUUGUAAUGUUAGAUUUCUAACUUUGUAUCAUUAUCUGGUCAAAGAACAGUUUCAGGCGGGCAGUUUGACUGGGGCGGUCGCCUCCCAAAGGGUAACGGAGGCGCACAAAGGUUUCCUCUGAACGGGUAGAAAUCGUAUCUAGAGUGUAAAGGCAUAAGGAAGCUUGACUGUGAGACCUACAAGUCGAGCAGGGACGAAAGUCGGUCUUAGUGAUCUGACGGUGCUGAGUGGAAAGGCCGUCACUCAACGGAUAAAAGUUACUCUAAGGAUAACAGGCUGAUCUCCCCCAAGAGUUCACAUCGACGGGGAGGUUUGGCACCUCGAUGUCGGCUCAUCGCAUCCUGGGGCGGUAGUCCGUCCCAAGGGUUGGGCUGUUCGCCCAUGAAAGCGGUACGCGAGCUGGGUUCAGAACGUCGUGAGACAGUUCGGUCCAUAUCCGGUGUAGGCGUUAGAAUAUUGAGAGGAGCCUUCUCUAGUACGAGAGGACCGAGAAGGACAUACCUCUGGUGUACCAGUUAUCGUGCCAACGGUAAACGCUGGGUAGCUAUGUAUGGAGUGGAUAACCGCUGAAAGCAUCUAAGUGGGAAGCCCACCUCAAGAUAAGUAUUCU